AUGCUCAAAAUUCUCCAAGCCAGGCUUCAACAGUAUGUGAACCGUGAACUUCCAUAUGUUCAAGCUGGAUUUAGAAAAGGCAGAGGAACCAGAGAUCAAAUUGCCAAUAUCUGCUGGAUUAUCAAAAAAGCAAGGGAGUGCCAGAAAAACAUCUGUUUCAGCUUUAUUGACUAUGCCAAAGCCUUUGACUGUGUAGAUCACAUUAAACUGUGGAAAAUUCUGAAAGAGAUGGGAAUACCAGACCACCUGACCUGCCUCUUGAGAAAUCUGUAUGUAGGUCAGGAAGUAACAGUUAGAACAGGACAUGGAACAACAGACUGGUUCCUAAUAGGAAAAGGAGUACAUCAAGGCUGUAUAUUGUCACCCUGGUUAUUUAACGUAUAUGCAAAGUACAUCAUGAGAAACGCUGGGCUGGAAGAAGCACAAGCUGGAAUCAAGAUUGCCAGGAGAAAUAUCAAUAACCUCAGAUAUGCAGAUGACAGCACCCUUAUGGCAGAAAGUGAAGAGGAACUAAAAAGCCUCUUAAUGAAAGUGAAAGAGGAGAGCGAAAAAGUUGGCUUAAAGCUCAACAUUCAGAAAACAAAGAUCAUGGCAUCCGGUCCCAUCACUUCAUGGCAAACAGAUGGGGAAACAGUGGCUUACUUUAUUUUGGGGGGCUCCAAAAUCACUGCAGAUGGUGACUGUAGCCAUGAACUAGAAAGCAUAUUUAAAAGCAGAGACAUUACUUUGCCAACAAAGGUCUGUCUAGUCAAAGCUGUGGUUUUUCCAGUGGUCAUGUAUGGAUUUGAGAGUUGGACUACAAAGAAAGCUGAGUGCAGAAGAGUUGAUGCUUUUGAACUGUGGUGCUGGAGAAGACUCCUGAAAGUCCCUUGGACUGCAAGGAGAUCCAACCAGUCCAUCCUAAAGGAGAUCAGUCCUGGGUGUUCAUUGGAAGGACUGAUGUUGGGGCUGAAACUCCAAUAUUUUGGCCACCUGAUGCAAAGGCUGACUCAUUGGAAAAGACCCUGA
rnacentral:lncRNA from 1 species